CACGCGGCUGCUGAUGUAGACGAAAAGACACCGACUGCAAAUGUCACGUUCAGGUGCUGCUGAUGUCGACGCAGAGACACCGACUACAAACCUCACAAUCAGGUGCUGCUGAUGUCGACGCAGAGACACCGACUACAAACCUCACAAUCAGGGAAGAUUGAACGGGUCAUCAACAGAGUGUCAUGGGCUCGAAAAUAAAGACGGCCGUCUUCGUGUUUAUUUCGUUACUGGUCAUGAUUUUCCUUUCCUCGGGAUAC